rnacentral:rRNA from 1 species
CUUGGGGUGUCUGACCAUGCAGUCGAGCGGUAAGGCCCUUUCGGGGGUACACGAGCGGCGAACGGGUGAGUAACACGUGGGUGACCUGCCCUCCACUCUGGGAUAAGCCCGGGAAACUGGGACUAAUACCGGAUAGGACCACUGAUCGCAUGGUUGGUGGUGGAAAGUUUUUUCGGUGGGGGAUGGGCCCGCGGCCUAUCAGCUUGUUGGUGGGGUGAUGGCCUACCAAGGCGGUGACGGGUAGCCGGCCUGAGAGGGCGACCGGUCACUCUGGGACUGAGACACGCCCUAGAUUCCUACUGGAGGCAUCAGGGGGGAAUAUUGCGCAAUGGGCGGAAGCCUGAUGCGGCGACACCGCGUGGGGGAUGACGGUCUUCGGGUUGUAAACCUCUUGGGCCACGGACGAAGAGCGAUUGACGGCACCUGGAUAAGAAGCACCGGGAUGCUACGUGCCACAUAUCGCGUGAAUCCGUAUGGGGCGAUCGUUGUACAGAAUUAUUGGGCGUAAAGAGCUCGGUACGAAGACCUCCUCCGGACGCGAAAACUUGUAUCUUAACUCUGUCUUGGCGGUCCAUACGGGCUUCUUUUUUCUCCGGCGCGUGAGAGUCGAACUAUGGGAUAGCUCCCAAAAUGUUUGAUGUCAAGAGGAACAACCAAUUGUGGACAGAAAUCUGUAGGGCUAGUCAUGGUCAUGAUUGAAUUUGCCUUGAGAUUGCAUGAUCAGAUAAUUUCGAAGUACAUACGAGCCCGAGUCGUCCCCUCGACAGCCGAAGGUGCCACAUAUUUGGUGGCAGCUAAUAAAGCUUGCAUUGCGCUCAAUGGCCGUCUUUCUGGUGAAAGAAAACAGUGCGGACAUAUUCAAUAAGUGAAUCGCUCAAACGACUCGAGAUGUGUCUUUGCGUAUUGAUCGUUCUUACACUUCUCGCUCACUGACUCGCUACUCUCGAUCCUUGGACUGCGGGCUGCGGUAUUCAGGUCCCUCAUACAGAGCUUAAAACUGUCUAUCCAACUUAUCAUGGUCAUGACACAACGGAAUGAAGAUCUCCGCUAAUAGUCGUCAACCAGUCAUCCAUCUCUAUAUAUGACGUAGAUGCUGUCUGACUUUUUGGACAGAUCUGUCUGGGUGUNUCCCGUUGUAUUAAUGACGAGCUUUGCCUACGUCGCGCCCCNUUUUUCGACAGAUCAAAAUGCGU